rnacentral:misc_RNA from 1 species
GAUGAAGAACGUAGCGAAAUGCGAUAAGUAAUGUGAAUUGCAGAAUUCAGUGAAUCAUCGAAUCUUUGAACGCACAUUGCGCCCGCCAGUAUUCUGGCGGGCAUGCCUGUUCGAGCGUCAUUUCAACCAUCAAGCCCUGCUUGCGUUGGGGUCCUGCAGCUGCCCGCAGGCCCUGAAAACCAGUGGCGGGCUCGCUAGUCACACCGAGCGCAGUAAUACAUCUCGCUUUGGGCGUGCGGCGGGUUCUUGCCGUUAAACACCCCCUUUUUACCAAGGUUGACCUCGGAUCAGGUAGGAAUACCCGCUGAACUUAAGCAUAUCAAUAAGCGGAGGA